rnacentral:rRNA from 1 species
UUUAACGCAAAUGGCGCUCUUGGGUUUUCCCAGGAGCAUGUCUGUCUGAGUGUCG